CGAAUGCACCUGGCCCAGGACCAGACUUUGAAAAUAACUCCUGUUGACCAAAGACAGUAUAAGUUGAAAAUAAAAUAAAAUCUGUAUCUACUAAAUUUUUCUCACUCAUUCAGAUUCACCAAAGAUUUAAAAAUGUCUAAGGAUACAGGAAAACAUAUACAGGCAUCCCUGAGAGACAUUGCAAGUUUGGUUCCAGACCACCCCAAUAAGGAGAAUAUCAUAACAAAGUAGUGCACUGAAGACUGUGAGAUGAUGGCAUCGUUUUUCUUAAAGUUGAAUCAGCAUACUCAAGUGAAAAUAUUCAUAGGAGAACAAGUACAAUUAAAAGAAUUUCUUUACCCAAUUUAUUUUCUUUUCACUCAGGAUUAUAAUUUUUCUCUUAAGUGUAAUUCAUCUAAAAAUAUAAAAUUAUAAUUGUACCUUCUUACUUUGUAAUAAAAAAUAUUUUUUCACCGACCAUGAAAU
rnacentral:lncRNA from 10 species